rnacentral:lncRNA from 1 species
UCAACAAGCAUUGACCAAAGAUAGAGGAGAUCAAGGUCAAAUAAUAGUAAACAAAAGCAAGAUGAAGAUUAGAAGUCAAGAAACAAAUAAAAUAUUUUUGGUAUUUUUCAAAAUAAAAAUAAUACUUGAAUUAAAAUAAUAAAGAAAGGUCAAACUUCAAAUUCACUUCAAAUCAGCUUUGAAAAGUCCAAGUGAAUUAUCCUAAGUUCAACAAGGUCAAACAAAGUUUGACAAA